AUUGAACGCUGGCGGCAGGCUUAACACAUGCAAGUCGAGCGAGCGGCGGACGGGUGAGAAAUGUCUGGGAAACUGCCUGAUGGAGGGGGAUAACUACUGGAAACGGUAGCUAAUACCGCAUACCAUGAGAUGUGCCCAGAUGGGAUUAGCUUGUAGGUGGGGUAAUGGCUCACCUAGGCGGAGAUCCCUAGCUGGUCUGAGAGGAUGACCAGCCACGCGGGGGCUUAGACACGGACCAGACGCCUACGGGAGGCAGCAGUGGGGAAUAUUGCACAAUGGGCGCAAGCCUGGUGCAGCCAUGCCGCGUGUGUGAAGAAGGCCUUCGGGUUGUGAAGCACUUUCAGCGGGGAUGCGGUACUCGCAGAAGAAGCACCGGCUAACUCCGUGCCAGCAGCCGCGGUAAUUC
rnacentral:rRNA from 1 species